UGAAAGUCUACUUUUUAUUGUUUUCACCUUCACAGUGAUGAUCUAGUAGACAGGUUUUUAUUUUGAUUUUUUUUUAAGUUUUUUUUUUUUCUUUAAACUUUGAAAAGAGGGGAGAAUACUUCAGGAAGAAUUGUGCUUGCUACUUUUAAAAGUUGUAUGCAGGACAGCAUGAAACUCGUUUUGACUGACCGGGAGUAAACAAAGGCUAGUUCAGGAACAUCUGAGUUAGUCUUGCCUGCUGCUUGCUGACUGGCCUCAGCUGCACCGGGUUAGCUCAGCAAGUUGCCAUCAACUGUGUUUUCAUGGUAACAGAAGGGAGUCUCCAUGUCCAGGUGACCUACUUGAUACGACAGCAGACUGUUGAGAAGAUUUAGCUCCCCUGAUUGUGUUGUUCAUGCCUCAUCUGCUGAGAAGUGCUCCAGCCCAGAAAGGCGCUUCUGCAAAGCUGAAAGACCUGUUGGUUGGAUUUUGUGACUUUUAGGGGCCUGCUUUGAGACCUACUGAAGCUGUCUUGAAUGAUGUGACAAAUGGCUCUCCGCAUGUACUGAGAUGCAGCACAGCCAGGAGAGCCCCUGGCCCCUGAAUACUACCUUCAGAUGGAGGAGGGAAAAUAACAUCUACAGGCAUGGUAAUGUCUUCACUUUGCUACAAGAUGCAGAUGGAUCACUCUUUGCCAGCUUUCAAGGCAAAUAUUGCUGUAUAGUCCUUGCCCUCAGCAACAUCCUCAGUGUCCUGGUGAUGGGUGCUUUGAAAGGAUCGGGCAGAAGAGACGUCAUGCUGCCUCUGCACAUCAGGCUCUCUGUUCUGCAUAAAGCUGCACUGUUCGGAAGAAGCGAGAUUGUCUUUCCUCACAGCUACGGCGCUGCGCCACUCUCAACACAGCCUGCUUUUCCCCCCAUUUACCUGGGCGGCUGCUGCUGUUUCUGCUGCUGCUGGGGCUGCUGCAGUCUCGCUGCCUGUGCUUCACCCUGGCUUGGCUGA
rnacentral:lncRNA from 1 species